rnacentral:tRNA from 1 species
GCUUUAUAAUUUAAUUUAUUUAAAAUAUUAAUUUUGUAAAUUAAAAAUAGAAAAAUUUCUUAAAGCU